UAGACAGUUUGAAUUGUUAGACAAAAUUAAGGAGGAAUUCCAGAAGAAACUUUGCUAUGAAAUCAUCAAAAGGAUUUCCAUUAUACCUCAACAAAGUGCAAAGCUUAAAGAAGGCUGUGCAGAGACUGAAGAAGCCGACAUCUUUUUCCUGAUUGAUGAAUCAUCCAGUAUACAACCUGCUGACUUCAUUUACAUCAAAACAUUCAUGAAUGACAUAGUGAAGACAUUCCAUAUUGGACCAAAAAAGGUCCGGACUAGCGUUGCCAUGUAUGCAAUGCACCACGAACAGCAUUUACCGCCACUGAAUAUACCAGUGUCACAAAGGUGGAGUCGGCAAUUGGUCAAAUUACACAAGCUGGGGGAGAUACUUAUACAGGAAGAGCACUGAAGUACAUGAAAAAUCUCUUCAGUGAAGCAGAAAAAAGUCGCAACAGUAGAGUACGACGCUUCCUGAUCAUUGUUACAGAUGGAGAGGCACAUGAUAAUGUAAAGUAUCCUGCUGAAGAAUUAAGAAAAGAAGGAAUUGUUAUGUACGCUGUAGGUGUGGGUAAUAUAAACAUCACUCAACUAAACGAGAUUGGAGAUGCUCCCGAAAGAGUAUUCAACAUAACUAAUUUUGAUAUCCUGAAAGAUUUGAAACCCCAGAUCGUGCAGGACAUCUGUUCCAAAGAAGCCUGCAGUAAACUGGACAAGGCUGACAUCAUUUUCCUAAUUGAUGAAUCAGGAAGUA